UAACACAUGCAAGUCGAACGGCAGCACAGAGGAGCUUGCUCCUUGGGUGGCGAGUGGCGGACGGGUGAGGAAUACAUCGGAAUCUACUCUGUCGUGGGGGAUAACGUAGGGAAACUUACGCUAAUACCGCACACCACCUACGGGUGAAAGCAGGGGAUCUUCGGACCUUGCGCGAUUGAAUGAGCCGAUUUCGGAUUAGCUAGUUGGCGGGGUAAAGGCCCACCAAGGCGACGAUCCGUAUCUGGUCUGAGAGGAUGAUCAGCCACACUGGAACUGAGACACGGUCCAGACUCCUACGGGAGGCAGCAGUGGGGAAUAUUGGACAAUGGGCGCAAGCCUGAUCCAGCCAUACCGCGUGGGUGAAGAAGGCCUUCGGGUUGUAAAGCCCUUUUGUUGGGAAAGAAAUCCAUCUGGUUAAUACCCGGGUGGGAUGACGGUACCCAAAGAAUAAGCACCGGCUAACUUCGUGCCCGCGGCCGCGGUAAUGCUAAGGGUGCAAGCGUUACUCGGAAUUACUGGGCGUAAAGCGUGCGGAUGUGGUCGUUUAAUUCCGUUGUGAAAGCCCUGGGCUCAACCUGGGAACUGCAGUGGAUACUGGGCGACUAGAAUGUGGUAGAGGAAAGCGGAAUUCCUGGUGUAACAGUGAAAUGCAUAGAGAUCAAGAGGAACAUCCAUGGCGAAGGCAGCUACCUGGAUCAACACUGACACUGAGGCACGAGAGCGUGGGGAGGAAACAGGAUUAGAUACCCUGGCACUCCACGCCCUAAACGAUGCGAACUGGAUGUUGGGUGCAAUGUGUCUCGCACUAUCGAAGCUAACGCGAUCACCUUCGGCGCCUGGGGGAGUAGGGUCGCAACUACUGAGACUCAACGGAGUCGACGGGGGCCCGC
rnacentral:rRNA from 1 species